rnacentral:rRNA from 1 species
AGAGUUUGAUCAUGGCUCAGAAUGAACGCUGGCGGCGUGCCUCAGGCAUGCAAGUCGAACGAGAAAGUUCCUUCGGGAAUGAGUACAGUGGCGCACGGGUGAGUAAUAUCUAGGUAAUGUACCUUUUCGCUGGGGAUAACUAAGGGAAACUUUAGCUAAUACCGAAUACACCGCGUUGGGCUGCGGCCCGAUUCGGAAAAGCCGUAAGGCGCGGAAAGAGCAGCCUGGAUCCCAUUAGCUAGUUGGUAGGGUAAAAGCCUACCAAGGCUACGAUGGGUAGCUGGUCUGAGAGGAUGAUCAGCCACACUGGUACUGGAAUACGGACCAGACUCCUACGGGAGGCAGCAGCUGGGAAUUUUGCGCAAUGGGGGUAACCCUGACGCAGCAACGCCGCGUGGGUGAGGAAGGCCUUCGGGUCGUAAAGCCCUUUUAGCAGGAAAGAAAAAAAUGACGGUACCUGCAGAAAAAGCACCGGCUAACUCCGUGCCAGCAGCCGCGGUAAUACGGAGGGUGCGAGCGUUAUUCGGAUUCACUGGGCGUAAAGCGCACGUAGGCGGUUUGGUAAGUCUGAUGUGAAAGCCCUCGGCUCAAUCGAGGAAGUGCAUUGGAUACUGCCGAGCUAGAGUACAGGAGAGGAAGAUGGAAUUCCCGGUGUAGAGGUGAAAUUCGUAGAUAUCGGGAGGAACAACAGUGGCGAAGGCGAUCUUCUGGACUGUAACUGACGCUGAGGUGCGAAAGCAUGGGUAGCAAACAGGAUUAGAUACCCUAGUAGUCC